AUGGACACGUUGAAUCUUAUUUGCUCUCUUAUCAUACUUAUUGUAGCGAUACCAGGCAUUUUAUUCAGCUCGUUAAUAGUAUAUUUGUACGUUUCCGGAUUUGCUGAGAAGACCAGUUUCAAUGUGAUAUGUUUAGUAAGAGCUGUAAAUAAUAUAAUUGUGUUGGUCGUCAACUUCUUGAUAUUCCUAUUUCCAACUUUGUUGUUGGUCUUACAACUAUAUGAGCUCAACACUGGACCAAACGCUAACAAUUACCACAAUCGAUAUCUAUGUGUACAAUGAAUUUCAAUCAUUAUUAAUCGCAAUUAAUCGAUUUAUUGCAAUGUAUGCACCAUUACAUUAUAAUAAACUUUGCAGUGUCAAAGUCUCGGUGGUGAUUAUGGCCCUUUAUUAUGUGAAAAAAAUUUAUGGAAGUUUGAAGUCAAGUUACAGUGUCUACGAAGCGGGCUGUCAGCAAUAUUUGGACCUUGCAACAUUCAAAAGACAAUAUGAAAACGCAAGCUGUGAAUCAACAUCGACCAAUAAUGUAGAUGAUUUUGGAUUUUUCAUUUUCCUAUUUUCUGUGGGGUAUUUGGUGUUAUUAUAUGUAAUUAAUCUUCUUACUUUUUAUCAAAUUUUAAAAUUUUAUUUGCGGAAGAAUAAUCAAAGAAGCAACGAGGAUUCGGCGUCGAUCAGGAAAAACAUUCGCUUGUUUUUUCAGACAGUUCUUCAAGAUUCUGUAUUUGCAAUCGAUCAGUUAUUUACAUUCGGAUUAAACUCUCUCAGCGAUCACCGUAUUUGGCUCUUUGUCAGCACAAUGCUUGUAUGGGAAAUGGUUCACUUGCUUGAUGGAUUGAUCAUGUUACUAUUCUCAAAUAGACUCUCAACAUUGAAAGCAAUAAUGGUUAGCAAAAAGUUAAUUUCGAUUGGUGGAGGGAAGCCUUCGGAAGCUCGAUCCGGCAAUCAAGUACACUCUUUGGGGGAAGUUGGCUAA